CUCCGCGCCGCGGAGCGGACUUAAAUAUCCCAGGAUACACCGCGCCGCGCGCCGCCGCCUACGUCACUGUCCUCGACGCGGCGCGCCGGGUGAAAAGGGGAACUGCCGCAGCGUGCGGAGCGAGGCGCGAGAGCGUAUUUUGAAAAAUACAGUUUGGAUAGGCGUAUUGGUGCAGGCUUUUACUCUCAGAACGCAGGGGGCAGAGGCAGGAGGAUUUCUGUGAGUUUGAGCCCAGCCUGGUUCACAAAGAGAAUUACAGAGCGGCAUAGAGACAUAAAUCCUGUCUCAAAACAGCAAAAACUAAAAAAUAAGAAAGAAAAAAAAAUAUAGCCCGUCUGACAGCCGGUUUGGACGCUUGAGGUUUCCCUGACGCUCCCGGACUGCGGAAGAGUGGUGGUAGAAAUCAAGGCACAGAGCCAAGAUUGGUGGCACAUUAAUGUAAUCCCGGCAUUUGGAAGGUGAAGGCAGGAGGAUCCCCAGUUCUAAGUCAACAUGGGCUACUUAGUGAGACUCCUCUCUGCCUCAAAACAAAACCCGAUCAAUCAAACCCUACGUGGAAGCUCACUGUUAAUCCCAGAGGUCAGUUCCAGGCCAGCUGGAACUACACAGUGAGACCCUGUCAAAAUAAUUUUUUAAAAUAUUUAUGUAUGUGAGCACACUGUAGCUGUCUACAGACACAAGAAGAGGACAUCAGAUUCCAUUACAGGUGGUUGUGAGCCACCAUGUGGUUGCUGGGAAUCGAACUCAGGACCUCUGGAAGAGCAGUCAGCGCUCUUAACCGCUGAGCCAUCUCUCCAGCCCCAAUAAAUAAUUUUUUCCCCCCAGAGCUGAGGACCGAACCCAGGGCCUUGUGCUUGCUAGGCAAGCACUCUACCACUGAGCUAAAUCCCCAACCCCAAUAAAUAAUUUUUUAAAUGUGUGUUUUGCCUGAAUAUAUGCUGGGAUUACAUUUGCACGCCACCACAUCUGACUUACUCUUUUGUGUAUGUACGUGUGUAUGCAUGCAUGGAGGUUGAAAAUCAACAGCAGUGUCUUUCUCAAUUACACUCGACCUUAUUUUUUUUGACACAGGGUCUCUCACUGAACCCAGAUAUCAUUAACUGGCUAGGCUGGCUGGUCAGAAAACAAAAACAAAAAAAUCUUUGUGUCUACCUCUGUGUUUGGGAUUACAGGGACUCCCUGCUGUGCCCAGCUGGGGACUGAACCCAAGCGCUCUACCACUGAGCUAAAUCCCCAACCCCUAAUAAGCAGCUUUCUUGUAUGGUCUCUGCUUCAGUUCCUGCCUCCAGGUAUUUGCCAAAUCCCUUCAACGAUGGACUAUGAUGUGGAAGUGUAAGCCAAAUAAAUCCUUUUCUCCCCAUGAUAUUUUUGGUCAUGCUUUUUUUUUUCCUCUCACAACAACAGAAACCCAACCUAACAGGUAAAUCCCUUGCUUUACUUUCAUCUCUAGAACCCAAGUUAAAACCCAGUUGCAGCCUGGUCAAAAGAGUGAGUUUCAGGACAGCCAGCGGAAAAACAAAACAAAACCCACCGCAACUGAAAAAUUUUAAAGCUCCUUUAAAAUGUUCGUUUUACUUAUUUUUUGUGUACAAGUGUUUUGCCUGCCUGCAUGCCUAUGUACCGUGUGCGUGCCUGGUGCCACUGGAGGUCAGAAGAGGGAGUCGGAGCCACAAGAACUGGAGUUAUGAAUGGUUGUCAGUUGCCCGAAUGAUGAUGCUGGGAAAAGCACCUGGGUCCCCUAGAAGAACAAGUGCUCUUAAAUGCCGAGCCAUCUCUCUAGCUCAGCUUCUAGGGUUUAUUGUUGUCGUUGUUGUUUGUUUGGGUCUCACGUAGCUCAGGCUGGCUUCACAAUGUAGCUGGGGUUACAUUGAAUUCCUGACCUUCCAAUUUUUUAGAAGAUUUAUUUAUUUAUCGUAAGUACACCGUCGCUGCCUUCAGACACACCAGAAGAGGGCAUCGGAUCUCAUUACAAUGGUUGUGAGCCACCAUGUGGUUGCUGGGAUUUGAACUCGGGACCUCUGGAGGAACAGUCAGUGCUCUUAACCACUGAGCCACCUCUCCAGCCCCUAACCUUCAAUUUUUAUCUCCUGAGUACUGGGGUCCCAGAUGUAAGGGCUACCAUGUCCCACCUCAAAUUUGGUUUUACCUUCUGGGGGAUAGGCAUCAAACACACUCGCAACUUCCUGUCGCAUACAGAGGUUCCAAAGGUACUGUGAUUGGCUGUUCCUGAGCCCUCCAGCCUAUGACCCAGGACAAGCCCUCCCUCUUCACACAGUGAUGGCAAUUGUGAUGCCGUCCAUUGUGAUGUCACCUCCGGCUUAUGUAAAAGGUAAACUUGGUGUGCUGUGGGCUCACACCAAGGCAGGGGAGUAAAUCCCCUUUGCCUGAAGUUUGAGAAUGAAAUUUCUAUCCAUUGGCCAGUCUGUGGUGAUUCACACUUAUAAUCCUGACACUUGGGAUAUGGAGGCAGGGGGAUGAGAAGUUCAAGGACAUCCUAGGUGACAGAGUUGAGUUUGAGGCCAGCCUUUGAUACAGGAACAGGAGGACCCAGGGCGUAAAACCAAAGGUGAGGGAGAAACUAAGACAUUCUCAGAUAAAGAAACUAAGGAAAUGUCUUGAUAAUGUAACAAGCCUUGGAAACAGCUUUGGCUACAAAGCACCGCUUCCUCUCAUGGAACCCACAGCAAUCGUUGGCAAGGGCAGUGAGACAGACGGCUCAGCAGUUCUAAGUACUCGGUGACCUGAAUUUAACCCACAUGGAAGACGGCAACAAUCAACCCUUGAAAGUCUUCUGAGUGUGUACUCUGGCACCAAAGGACUUCACACACACACACACACACACACACACACACACACACACACACACACACACAAAUUAGGUUUUUCUUUUUUCUUUUUCUUUUUUUAAAGUAGAAGCAGGCAGCCGGAAGUGGUAACUCACAUCUUUAUCUUUAAUUCCAGGGUUUGGGAGGCAGAGGCAGGAGGAUCUCUCUGUUGGAGCCCAGCCUGGUCUACAGAGUGAGUUAGUUCCAGGACAACCAGACCUACACAAAGAAACCCUGUCUUGAAAAACAAAACAAAAAACCCCAAACCAAACAAAUAACAAGCAAUGAAAAAACCAGAAGCAGGCUGAAAAACCUCCAUUUUGUGUGUCUCCUUCCACUGGAGCCGGCCCCUUACCUCUGUUAUGUAGGUGGUCAGUCAUUCAAGCUAAUGUCUGUACCACUCCCCUCCAAAGCUGAACCGAGGCAUCUAAUUGUCAGCUUCUUACGUCUUUUUCAGACGCCUGAAAGAUUCCUAAAGUCACCAGUUAUUCUAAACUAGAAACCACUAGGAGCAUCCAAGGUCAGAGCCAUUGCUCGACACCGGGGGACACUGGUUCACUACAGAGGUGGCUUCUGGAGCAGGCACAGUCCCCUCCUGAGAACCUGCUUGUCCUGUCAAGUGAUAAGGAUUUCUUCAGGCCAUUUGGCAGAAGCAGAACUCAGGCAGUGAUGAACCAGACCCACCCUACUUUUAAUUACACAUAGUCCUCUACUCCUGGGCCCUAAACAUGAACUAAGAUCACUAGACCCUUUUAUCUCUCCCACUUUCUUUUUUUUAAAAGACACACCAGAAGAGGGCAUCAGAUCUCAUUAUAGAUGGCUGUGAGCCACCAUGUGGUUGCUGGGAUUUGAACUCAGGGACCUCAGGAAGAGUAGUCGGUUCUCUUAACCGCUGAGCCAUCUCUGCAGCCCUCUCUCCCCCUUUCUAACAGGCAUUUAAAAGUAAAGAAAUUCGUUUACACUCCAAUGUGUGGUUUUUCGAGACAAGAGUUUUUCUUCUGCACAGCCUGGGUUGUCUUGGAACUUGCUCUGUAGAACAGGCUCACACUCAGAGAUCUGCCUGCCUCUGCCUCCCAAACGCUGGGAUGAAAGGUGUGCAUUGCAUGCCUAGGCUGAGCCUUUUUUUUUUUUUUUUUUUAAGAUUUAUUCAUUAUAUAUAAGUACACUGUCACUGUCUUCAGAUACACCAGAAGAGGGCAUCAGAUCUCUUUACAGAUGGUUGUGAGCCACCAUGUGGUUGCUGGGAAUUGAACUCAUGACCUCUGGAAGAGCAGUCGGGUGCUCUUAACCGCUGAGCCAUCUCUCCAGCCUGGCUGAGCCUUUAAUAUACCAAGAAGUAACAAAGCCGCCCGUGUAAAAAUGUGGUCCUUCCCAGAAUUAUCUUCAGUCUCCCCUGCAAUGUCAUCUGACAAGCUGCAGGACUGUGAGAAAUCUCUUCCUGGGAGAUCAAAAAUAUUCUUCCCUGUCAUCUAUCCCUCCUCAAUUGGGUUGGAAUUUUCCCUGCCUGACUCCUGGCUGCUGCAUUACAAACAUAUGCUGCCAACCAGCGCUCUCCCGCCUCCGAGGCAACUAUAAAGAGUUGAGCAGUCUGUCAUUUAUGUAUUUUAGAUUUAUUUCCAGUGUUUUCCACGUAUGUAUAUCCACGCCACAUACAUGCCCCGUCACGAAGAGGUCAGAAGAGGGCACUGGGUCUCCUGGAACCAAACAGUUGCGAGGCACCACUCGGGUGCUGGGAACUGAACCCAGGUCCUCUGAAAGAGCAGCAAAGGCUCAUGAACACGGAGCCAUCUCCCCAGCCCCCUGCUUUGUCCUUUAGUGUUUCUUUCUUCCUGAAAAACCAUGGAAACUCUAUAAAGCCAUUUUCAUUCCCAGUACUUUCCAACGCCAGGGACAGAUGGUAACUCGUCUUUUCCUUUGUUCUUCACUUCCUUUUGGUAGGUUUUAUUUAUUUUUCUUUCAGUAUAGUUUUAAAGUUUAUUACUUUACAUGUCAGCGGGGUUGUUCUGCAUCCAUGCAUAUAUACACACGUCCACCACAGAAGUGCCUGGUGGUGCCCUGAAAGGAUCAGGAGAGGCCUUCAGAUUCCUCUGAGCCUUGACAUUACAGACAACAUUGCGAGCUACCAUACGGUGAUGGGAAUCCAGUCUGCUGCCAAGAGCGACCACAUGCUCUAAGCAGCUCAGACCAUGCUUCAACUCUUACUACAUUACUUUGAAUUAUUUUUUUUGAGACAAGUUCUUAACUAUCUGUAGCCCUCACCAGCCUGAAACUUGCUAAGUAGGUAAGGUUCAUUAAGAACUCACAAAGAGGGGCUGGGGAUUUAGCUCAGUGGUAGAGCGCUUACCUAGGAAGCGCAAGGCCCUGGGUUCGGUCCCCAGCUCCGGAAAAAAGAACAAAACAAAAAACAAACAAAAAAAAAAAAAAAAAAAAAAAAGAAGAACUCACAAAGAAA